rnacentral:rRNA from 1 species
CCUACGUGUGGCAGCAGUGGGGAAUAUUGCGCAAUGGGCGAAAGCCUGACGCAGCGACGCCGCGUGAGGGAUGAAGGUCUUCGGAUCGUAAACCUCUGUCAGCAGGGAAGAACGGUCACUGUGCCAAUCAGCAGUGAAUUUAUGGUACCUGCAAAGGAAGCACCGGCUAAUUCCGUGCCAGCAGCCGCGGGAAUACGGAGGGUGCGUGCGUUAAUCGGAAUUACUGGGCGUAAAGCGCUCGGAGGGGGUAGUUCAAGUCAGAGGUGAAAUCCCCGCGCUCAACGUGGGAACUGCCUUUGAGACUGGUAAACUGGAGAGUGUGAGAGGAUAGUGGAAUUCCAGGUGUAGGAGUGAAAUCCGUAGAUAUC